AUACUUACCUGGCGUAGAGGGAUACCAUGAUCUUGCAGGCGGUUCCCCCAGGGCGAAGCUGCUCCAUUGCACUGCGGAGUGGUUGACCCUUGCGAUUAUUUUUAUUUUUAUCGAUAAAAAAAUC
rnacentral:snRNA from 9 species